GAUUAGAUACCCCACUAUGCCUGAUGUAAAAAAACAAUAAAACUACGAAUUGUUCGCCAAACAACUACGAGUGAAAACUUAAAACUUAAAAGACUUGACGGUACUUCACAUCGACCUAGAGGAGCCUGUCCAAUAACCGAUAAUCCACGAUUAACCCAACCCCCCCUAGCCUAACAGUCUAUAUACCGCCGUCGCCAGCUUACCUUGUGAAAGAAACAAAGUGAGCCAAAUAGUAAACGCUAGAACGACAGGUCGAGGUGUAACCAAUGGGGAGGGCAAAGAUGGGCUACAUUUUCUAAUAUAGAACAAACGAAUAAACUAUGAAACUAGAAACCGAAGGCGGAUUUAGUAGUAAGAAAGGAAUAAAUAUGCCUUUCCGAAAUUAAUGCAAUGAAGUGCGUACACACCGCCCGUCAUUCCUGUAAAAACCAUAUAUUUUACAUAAAACCAAGCUAAACACAACACAGGACAAGUCGUAACA
rnacentral:rRNA from 1 species